CUAUAUUUCAGGGAUGGCAGACUCUGGUUGGGGCAGUGUCCUUAAGACUUCUCAGUCUGAAAAUAGAUAUUGGGACAGCAGAUUUGAACAGAACUUUGAGAAGGUCUCCUUCCCGGUGAGUAUAGUUGGAUGUUAUCAGGUUUACAGUGGUUUUCACAUGCUUGUUACUAAAGAGUUUUUUAAACAGUAGUACUUGGUAUUUUCUUGAAAAAAUAAGGUUUACAGAAAUGUAUUUUUUUUAGAUGUAUGUAGUCUAGGAUUUUUGGGAAUUUGAUCAUUUAAAACAUUUAAUCUUUAAAUUUGAUGGGUUGAAAUUCACCAUGAUAAAUUUGAAUGCUAGUAUUCAAAUUCAAGGCACACAGUGUGUGUAGACUUUAAUAAAGACCAGUUGAUUUUCCUCGUAGUUUUAGCAGUUUUCCCUUGAGUGCCAAGGUGUACCACAUCCAAAACCAUUGACCCAGGUACAAACUACUGGUACAAAGCAUUUUUCAAUUUUCUAAAUUUCUAAUUCCUACCAACCAGGUGAAAUUUGCUUCACGCUGAGAGUGCUUCAAUUUUAACUAAAUCUAAGAAUUCAAAAACAAGUUUAAGGAGGUAAAUGUUAAGAAUAAUUUUGGAUAUUUUGUAGGUUUUUGAAUUGGUGAAAAAAUUUGAUUUUUGCAACACAAAUUUCUAGCACCUGUUGUGUGACUUCAGUAUAGUAACUGUUGUCUCUAAAUGGUGGUAUUGGGCAAAUUUCCUUGAAGUAGAUAUUUUUCAGUGUUUUAUAUAAUGCGUAAGUUUCUUACAGGAACUUCUUUUCAGUAUGCAAAAGGAUUAAUUUCAAAUUGGUUAUACAGCACUGACAACAAUCUUAUUUAUUUUUUAUCAUAAGUGGUGGUCA